rnacentral:pre_miRNA from 1 species
UUUUUAGUAUAGGUCUGUCCCACAAAAUAUUUGGGACAGACUUAUACUAAAA